AUGUGUGGUUUUUUCCACACAUAUCCUACUCUGUCCGGGCCAUUUCAGAGCUUACAGGAGGUCCAAGAUGCUAUCAACUCUGAGCAUGCUAAACAGUGUGAAAUGAUGUGCAUGGAUGGGCUUUCCAUGAUUGAAAGGAAAGUACGCCGUGCCCUUUACUGGCCUGAUGGCAUAAGGAGAAAUACUUUGGAAGCGCAAGCUUUUGAGAAGAGCCGUAGGCCUGAAGUAUGGAUGCUUAAAGCAUUACUGGACAAGUACAAUGAUGAUAACAAUCUGUCAGAGGAUAUUGCAUAUGAACUCGUAGACAUUCUACGUGCUAAAGCAAUUCGUGAGCCAAAAGGUUCCCUAUGUAGGUUUUAUUAUCAUAUCAACUUGAUGAUAAAGACUAAAGGGGAUGAUGAUGAUCUUGGCAAUCUUUUCUUUGCUGAAGUAACACGUAAGGAUCACAAAGAUUACGCCCUCAGCCGUAUCUGCAUGCUUCAGUCUGAUGAUAAUGGUCAAUGCUAUGGUUGUACCUGUACUGGGCGUGUUGAUAUGAAACAUCCCAGUGAUGAAAACUACAGGCAUGGUGAUCCGAACACACCUUUGCCAUGCAUGGGUUUCAUCAAUGCAGAUCUUCUAACCAGUAUGUCAGAGUGGACUGCUAUAUAUAACGAAGAUGAGCUGAAAGCACAAGGGGAUAGGGUGAGGCUUGAAUGCAAGAUGCUUUAUGAUCCGGAUUCUGCAAGAGGCAAGGAAGAUACUUGUAAGACAAUAAGUUUUGGGGAACCAACACAACCCUCUAGGGGUGGCUUAUCUCAUUAUAUAUAA
rnacentral:rRNA from 1 species